ACAUGCCUACAUCAUAUCGUUAAUGCAUCGGAUCCCAUUAGAACUCCGCAGUGAAUCGCUGUCAAGCUAGAGUAAUACUAUGAUGGGUGACCGCCCGGGAAGUCCUAGUGUUUUACAAGCU
rnacentral:rRNA from 1 species